rnacentral:rRNA from 1 species
AAUCAACGCUGGCGGCGUGCCUAACACAUGCAAGUCGAACGCGAAAGGGGGGCAACCCCCAAGUAGAGUGGCGAACGGAUGAGUAACACAUCGGAACGUGCCCAGUAGUGGGGGACAACCUCGAGAAAUCGAGGCUAAUACCGCAUACGACCCACGGGUGAAAGCGGGGGCCCGCAAGGCCUCGCGCUAUUGGAGCGGCCGAUGUCCGAUUAGCUAGUUGGCGGGGUAAGAGCCCACCAAGGCGACGAUCGGUAGCUGGUUCGAGAGGAUGACCAGCCACACUGGGACUGAGAUACGGCCCAGACUCCUACGGGGGGCAGCAGUAAGGAAUCUUCCACAAUGGACGAAAGUCUGAUGGAGCAACGCCGCGUGCAGGAUGACGGCCUUCGGGUUGUAAACUGCUUUUAUAUGGGAAGAUUAUGACGGUACCAUAUGAAUAAGGACCGGCUAACUCCGUGCCAGCCGCCGCUGUAAGAC